AUGCAAGGCGUCGUCUUAGCCUUGCCUUCCCAGGAUCGCUCCCACACCUAUCAUGUUCGUGAUCGGCCUCCUCAACUGUGUAUCGAUCGAAAGGCAGGGCGGCAGAGCCCCCAACCGACGGGAGUAGUUACGUCUAGUAUGUCCCUCCUCGAUUCCCGACAUGCUAUGAUACCCGGGUGGGUAGGAGCGGGUCGAGUCCGUAUCACCGCGGAACAACUGCAGCGGAUCCUCAGACAUAUAUGA
rnacentral:rRNA from 1 species